rnacentral:lncRNA from 1 species
CUCAGGGCUCGCGCGGCGCCGGGCGCGGGAGAGGUGCCGGAGCUGCAGCACAGGGCUUUAUUUGUUGCCGCUGAACUGCGAAAAAGGGGAGGGGGGGGAAAUAAAUAAAAAGACCUUCUCUCCCUCUCGGGUAAACCGUAUAGGAUUUGCACCUCUGUGACAAAGGCCUCUUUCAGGGAGGAAAGAAGGGGCGCACCAAAUGCCCAAGGGUGGCAGGAUGUGAAAAGAGGCUUGUUUCUUGUCUUUUCCCUAGAGCUUCUCUGUUUCUCCCCAGAUGAGGCCGCUGAGCUGUUCCCAGUUCCUUCCCAGCCACAUUUAGAUUAGUGAGAGAUACCAAACGCCACGCCACGGGUGCCAGGGUUUUGCUGCGUCUGCAGAGCUACGGCGUACAUGUCACCAGAUCUCCUGAAUCGAAUUCGGUUUGGUUUCUGCCUCCUUAGGAACUUGCCUUGUUCCAUGUGGAUUUUGCAUGCAUUAUCUGCCCCACUGAAGAAGAGUGAUUAUAGUCCUGAGGAGCUCCAUCUAUAGCAGCUAUCUACAAGCUUUAAAAUGACAAGGUGCUGGAACUGUAUGCAGUUUUUAUGUUCACAUAUUUUCUUUAAAAGAGGGAUGCAAGAGCCAUUAAAAUUGUGUUGCCAUGAGAGUGGGAGAGUGCUUCUUGAUGAAUGAGAACUUUUCAAAGUAAAUUUGUUUAGAAUGCUUGCUGUCUUGAAUUUAAUUUCAAAGUGUUAAUACAUUUCUGUGGUUUUCUUAGUGUCACUGGACAAGUGUUUACACCCUCUUCCAAAAGUGAAAUAUCGCAGAUGUUGAAAAGAAUGCAGGUAUAAACGAAUCUGCAAGUGAAAUAAGAACAGUAUCUGCCAAUAAUGUAGUCGCCCCAAACUGCGAUAGUAUCUCUUGCAUAAUCAGCAAUAUAUCACCACUGAAGUAUAAUUUCUGAGAAAAUGUCUUGAAAAUGGCAGUCAAACCACAUUCUGUAGAUUUACUAUAUGAUUAUUAGUAUGGAACUUCCUAAAAUUGUGCAUGUCAGUGUAAGUGUAUAGCUUCAAACUCUGUUUUAUUUCAUGCUGUGAACCUGGGGGAAAAAACAGGAAUUUUGUUUUAAGGGAACGGUCACCAACAGUUUGCCUUUUUUUUUUUUUUUUAGUCAGUCAUGUUGUUAAAAAUUAUUUUCUGUAACUGAGCUCUCCCUAGAGUUAACAGACCACUCUUCUAAAAAUACUUUUUAAAAGUUCUCUGGGAAGUGAUAUUCUUCCAUUGAAAAUUUAAUCGCAGGGUAAUUCAGGUUUGAAGGAACCUCUUGUCCAACCCCUGCAUGGAACAGGGCUAACUUCGAAGUCAGAUCUAACAUCAAAGUUAGAUCAGUUGCUCAGGGUUUUGUCCAGUCAAGUUUUGAAUAUCUCUAAGGACAGAGAGUGCACAGCCUCUCUUGA